AGUGUCACUUUCUGUGGAGAGGCACAACUGCAGUGGUUUGCCUUGUUCAAAUUUGAUACCUGGACGAUAUCCAGUGAUUAGCUGCUUCAAUUGGCUUUAUUUAAUUGAAUCGGCAUUGUUGCGAUGAUUUGCCCUGUUCAAAUAAACACUGGGACGACACUCAGUGAUCAGUCACUUAAUGGGCUUGAUGUAAUCUAAUUGAUACCCCAUAUGGUGAAAUUUGGUCCGAUACUAUUUUAAGCAUUGUUAAAUUGCCUUUUUGAAGACACGAUAAGAUGUAUGUCCAUAUUGUGAUUCUUUGAUUAAUACACCCCUGAUGAAGUCUGUAGGAUGAAACGCGUUGGAUUAGCACAUUGUUCUCUGACAUCUCUACAAAGAAGAUCAUUUUGAUGUUGUUUGAAUUACCAAGACAACUAUUGUCUGUACAAACAUUGUUUAUUGUUAUUCUGGGUAAAUUGUAAACAGUUUUAUGUAUUGCUUUUUACAAAAAUAAACAAUCUCUCUUU